rnacentral:rRNA from 1 species
CCGCGAACAGCGGAGUGAAAUAGACCUGAAACCAUACGCCUACAAGCUAUAGGAGUCCAAUCUUGAUAGCAAUAUCAAGUGAAGGAUGACUAUGUGCCUUUUGCAUAAUGAGCCUACGAGUUACUCCUCACUGGCAAGGUUAAGGACCCAAGGUCCGCAACCGUAGCGAAAGCAAGUCCUAACAGGGCGUCCAGUCAGUGGGGGUAGACGCGAAACCUUGUGAUCUAUCCAUGGUCAGGAUGAAGGACCGGUAACACGGUCUGGAGGUCCGAACUGAUAAGCGUUGAAAAGCUUCCGGAUGAACUGUGGAUAGGGGUGAAAGGCUAAUCAAACUAGGAAAUAGCUCGUACUCUCCGAAAUGUUUUGAGGAACAGCCUCGAGUGUAAUGUUAUAGAGGUAGAGCUACCGAUAGAGUCAGGGACCUUCACCGGUUACCGAGCUCUGACGAACUCCGAAUACUGUUGCAUGAUCACCGGGAGUGAGCCCGCGGGUGCUAAGGUCCACGGGCGAGAGGGAAACAACCCAGACCAUCAGCUAAGGUCCCCAAAUGUAUGCUAAGUUGAUUUAAUGAAGUCCAAUGGCACUGACAGCCAGGAUGUUGGCUUGGAAGCAGCCAUUCAUUCAAAGAGUGCGUAACAGCUCACUGGUCGAGCCAUUGGGCGCAGACAAUAAACGGGCAUCAAGCAUACUACCGAAGCUAUGGAUUCUAUAAGCAAUUAUAGAGUGGUAGGAGAGCAUUCCAGUCGCUGCGAAGGUGAAGCGUGAGCUUUGCUGGAGCAACUGGAAAAGCAAAUGUAGGCAUAAGUAACGAUAAAUUCUGUGAAAAACAGAGUCGCCAAUAGUCUCAGGUUUCCUGAUCAAUGCUAAUCAGAUCAGGGUUAGUCGGGUCCUAAGGUGUACCCAAACGGGGAAGCCGAUGGCCAACUGGUUAAUAUUCCAGUACUAACGUAUACUGCUAUGGAGGGACGGAGAAGUGAAAGGUCUGCCUCAAAACGGAAUUUGAGGUUAAAGCCCGUAGAUAUAUCUUUGGUUGGCAAAUCCGCCAGAGAUGUCGAAGGUGAUAGUACUACAAGGCCUCGGCUGCGUAGAUAAUGACCCUAAUCAGGCUCCCUAGAAAAUCUCCUAUGCUUCAGGUAUACGCUACCCGUACCGCAAACCGACACAGGUAGACAAGAAGAAUAUUCUAAGGCGCUCGAGUGACCCAUGCUUAAGGAACUAGGCAAAUUGACACUGUAACUUCGGGAGAAAGUGUCCCCUGAUUAAUAGUCAGGGGUUCAAUGAAAUGUUCCAGGCGACUGUUUAUCAAAAACACAGGGCUCUGCUAAAUCGAUCGAAAGAUGAUGUAUAGGGCCUGACACCUGCCCGGUGCCGGAAGGUUAAGGAGAGAAGUCAGAAGCAAUUCGAAGCUUUGAACCGAAGCCCCGGUAAACGGCGGCCGUAACUAUAACGGUCCUAAGGUAGCGAAAUUCCUUGUCGGGUAAGUUCCGACCUGCACGAAUGGUAUAACGAUCUGGAAACUGUCUCAAGCAUGCGCUCGGUGAAAUUGUAGUCUCGGUGAAGAUGCCGAGUACCCGCAACGGGACGGAAAGACCCCGUGCACCUUUACUGCAACUUUGUAUUGAUUUCGAAUAAAUGAUGCGUAGCAUAGGUGGGAGACUUUGAUGCCCCGAUUCCGGUUGGGGCUGAGUCGCCAGUGAAAUACCACCCUUCGUUUCUUUGAGGUCUAACCCCUGCACAACAGGGGGACAGUGCAUGGUGGGUAGUUUGACUGGGGUGGUCGCCUCCAAAAGAGUAUCGGAGGCUCCCAAAGGUGUGUUCAAUACGCUUGGUAACCGUAUGUAGAGUGCAAUAGCAUAAACACGCUUGACUGUGAGGCCUACAAGCCGAGCAGGUACGAAAGUAGGGUAUAGUGAUCCGGUGGUUCCGCAUGGAAGGGCCAUCGCUCAUAGGAUAAAAGGUACGCCGGGGAUAACAGGCUGAUCCCUCCCAAGAGCUCAUAUCGACGGGGGGGUUUGGCACCUCGAUGUCGGCUCGUCACAUCCUGGGGCUGGAGAAGGUCCCAAGGGUUAGGCUGUUCGCCUAUUAAAGUGGCACGCGAGCUGGGUUCAGAACGUCGUGAGACAGUUCGGUCCCUAUCUGUUGCGGGCGUUGGAGAUUUGAGGGGGUCUGACUCUAGUACGAGAGGACCGAGU